UCCACAUGUCGUGUGUGUUUUCUCCUUUUCACAUUUCCCCGCUCCCACGCGGGCUUUCAACUAUUGAAAUGCAAGUCAAAACUUACUUCCCCACGCCUCUAGCCCGAAGAUAUCUCUUCUUUAUUUUAUUCUGAACUUCUGUUACUUCGUUCAACCCUUUUACGACGUUGCUACCUGCCAUGGCGAAGCCUGUAUUGUCCUCUUCUAUCAAUUAUAAGUGGCAGUACGAUGUGUUCCUUAGUUUCCAUGGUGAAGAUACUCGAUUAGGUUUCGUUGGCUUUCUCCCUGAAUCUUUGCGUCAAAGAGGAAUUCGCGUCUUUAUUGAUGAUGAGUUCAUCAGAACCGGAGAAGAAAUCACACCCGCACUUCUCAAAGCCAUACAAGAAUCUAGGAUAGCCAUCAUAGUUUUCUCUGAGAACUAUGCGAGCUCGACAUUCUGUCUGCAAGAACUUGAAAAGAUUCUUGAGUGAUUUAAAGAGGAAUGUCGAUUAAUAUAUCCAGUGUUUUAUUAUGUGGAUCCAUCAGAGCUGCGACGUCCAAGAGGAAGCUAUGCAAAAGCGUUGGCUGGAUUGGAGAAAAGAUUUGAAGCCAACAUUCAAAGAACACAAAAAUGGAGGUUGGCUUUAUCCCAAGCGGCUAACUUGAAAGGCUGUCAUCUCAAAUUCGAGAUUGGGUUUCUAUUUUUCUUUACCAAAAUAAGCUGGGGUUCAGUUUCACAAUACUUGCAUAUUUGCUUUGAUGAGGAACGGAACUUUUUCUUUACAAGGAGGAUUGCAAACGAACAAGAAUAUACUACAAAGAUCAUGAAUGAAGUAUUGGCGAGGAUUAAUCUUAAUCCUUUAUACAUUACUCAUUAUCCCGUUGGACUUGUGUCCCAAGUGAAAGAAGUAGUCUCACUUUUAGAUCUUUAGUCUACUAAGGGAAAUAAAACCAUAGGAAUUACGGGAGUUGGUGGAAUAGGUAAAUCAACGAUUGCAAGAGUUGUGUAUAAUUCUAUUGCUAAUCAUUUUGAAGGCCUAUGCUUUCUUUUUAGCAUAAGAAGAGUCUAAAAUGCCAAAUGGUUUGGCACAUCUUCAAGAGGCAUUACUUUGUAAAUUAGUCAUGGAGAAGGAUCUCAAAUUGGGUGAUUUUUAUGAAGGGAUACCAAUAAUAAAACACAGGCUUGGCUAGAAGAACAUUCUUUUGAUUCUUGAUGAUGUUGAUGAAUUGAAAUGGUUAGAAGCACCAGCUGAAAGUUGUGAUUGGUUUGGUCUUGGAAGUAGAAUUGUCAUGACAACAAGGAAUAAACAAUUGUUAGUAACUCAUCAUGUUAAUAGCAUUUACAAUGUGAGGGAAUUAAAUGAUGAGGAAUCUCUUCAAUUGUUUAGUUGGCAUGCCUUGAAAAAGGAGAAUGUGGAGUCUGACUUCAUGAAAGUUUCCAAUUGUGCAAUACUUUAUUCUUGUGGCUUUCCAUUAGCUCUAGCAGUGAUUGGCUCUAACUUAUGUGGUAAAGGAGUUAAUGAAUGGCACUUUGCAUUGGAUCAAUUUAAAAGAAUUCCAAAAGGAAGAGUUUUGGAAGUCCUUAGAUUAAGCUAUGAUGCUUUAGUAGAAAUUGAGAAAAAAAAUUUCCUGGACAUGGCAUGUUUCUUCAAAGGUGAAAAUUUAGAAGUCAAGGAUAUGUUGUAUUGUUUACAUGAAAUCCCAACAGACUAUGUUAUUGAAGUUUUGAUUGACAAAUCCCUUAUCUAAAGGAGAUAGAGUGGUAAUGCAUGAUUUGGUAGAAGAUAUGGGUAAAGAGAUUGUUUGACAAGAAUCACUAAGUAAGCCUAGUGAACGGAGUAGGUUAUGCUUCAAAAAAGAUAUUCUUCAUGUUUUAAAACAAAACACAGUAAGAUCCAUCAAUAUGUGAAUUAUGUUUUUUUUCUCCUUUAAAACUUACAAUAUGAUUUUUGCGUGUCUAAAUUUUGAAAUUUAUUGUGUGCUAUUCAUGUUGAAAGGGAACUAAUAAAGUUGAAGUCAUAAUUCUAGACCUACCUGAAGGUAAUGAAGUUUAAAUACAAUGGAGCGGAAAGGCAUUCAUGAAGAUGCUGAAUCUUAAAAUGCUUGUGAUAAAAAAAUGCAAGCUUUUCUAAAUGCCCCAAACAUCUCCCAAAUGGUUUAAGGUGGUUGAAAUGGAAGGCUUUUAAGGUUUUGCCAUAUAAUAUUUGCUUUACAAAACUUGUGUAUCUAGACUUGUCUUAUAGUUAUUUUGAAUCACUCCAGCCAUUUACAAAGGCAAGUAUACACUUAUAUCUAAUACUUGAUAUGUUUCAUCAUGGUUUAUUUGCCUAACUUUUUAAAGAAUUUAUGAUUGUUUAAUUUUGCAGAAGUUUCACAGUUUAAGUUAUAUGAACUUCAGAAAUUGCAAAUUUUUACAUCAAACACCAAAUUUGUCUGGAGUUUCUAAUUUAAGGAA